GAUGAACGCUGGCGGCGUGCCUAAUACAUGCAAGUCGAGCGAACAGACGAGGAGCUUGCUCCUCUGACGUUAGCGGCGGACGGGUGAGUAACACGUGGAUAACCUACCUAUAAGACUGGGAUAACUUCGGGAAACCGGGGCUAAUACCGGAUAAUAUAUUGAGCCGCAUGGUUCAAUAGUGAAAGACGGUUUUGCUGUCACUUAUAGAUGGAUCCGCGCCGCAUUAGCUAGUUGGUAAGGUAACGGCUUACCAAGGCAACGAUGCGUAGCCGACCUGAGAGGGUGACCGGCCACACUGGAACUGAGACACGGUCCAGACUCCUACGGGAGGCAGCAGUAGGGAAUCUUCCGCAAUGGGCGAAAGCCUGACGGAGCAACGCCGCGUGAGUGAUGAAGGUCUUCGGAUCGUAAAACUCUGUUAUUAGGGAAGAACAAAUGUGUAAGUAACUAUGCACGUCUUGACGGUACCUAAUCAGAAAGCCACGGCUAACUACGUG
rnacentral:rRNA from 1 species